CCUGCAGGUAAUUAAGAUAGAUUUUUAGAUUAACCAAAAUAAGUAUAAUACUAUAGUGCUGUAGGAAAACCACUGAGCCCCUGACGUGCGCGUUUCGCCAGAGUGGCUCUUCAGAGGGCCCCAAGACAUAAGCAGCAGAUCCUUUAAGUUGUGCAAGUUGAGAGGUAGAGCCUCAAUUGAUAGGAUAGGUCAUACUCCUCAAGCCAUUCCUGAACAACUUUUGCAGUGUGGCAGAGUGCACUAUCCUGCUGAAAGAGGCCAUUGCCAUAAGGGAACAGCACUGUCAUGAAAGGGUGUACGUGGUCUGCAAUAAUCUCUAAAUAGAUGGUAUGUGUCAAAGUAACAUCCACAUGAAUGCCAGAAUCCAAGGUUUCCCAGCAAAACAUUGUCCAGAACAUAAGACUGUCUCCACCGGCCAGCCUGCCUUUUUCCCAUAGUGCAUACUGUUG